GACGAACGCUGGCGGCGUGCUUAACACAUGCAAGUCGAACGAUGAAGGAGAGCUUGCUCUCCGGAUUAGUGGCGAACGGGUGAGUAACACGUGACUACCCUGCCCCUUUCUCUGGGAUAACGCUCCGAAAGGAGUGCUAAUACCGGAUACGAACUCUGAACACAUGUUCGGAGUUGGAAAGUUUUUCGGAAAGGGAUGGAGUCGCGGCCUAUCAGCUUGUUGGUGAGGUAACGGCUCACCAAGGCGACGACGGGUAGCCGGCCUGAGAGGGCGACCGGCCACACUGGGACUGAGACACGGCCCAGACUCCUACGGGAGGCAGCAGUGGGGAAUAUUGCACAAUGGGCGAAAGCCUGAUGCAGCGACGCCGCGUGAGGGAUGAAGGUCUUCGGAUUGUAAACCUCUUUCAGUAGGGACGAGGCGAAAGUGACGGUACCUAAAGAAGAAGCACCGGCUAACUACGUGCCAGCCGCCGCGGUAA
rnacentral:rRNA from 1 species